GACGAACGCUGGCGGCGUGCUUAACACAUGCAAGUCGAACGGAAAGGCCCUGCUUUUGUGGGGUGCUCGAGUGGCGAACGGGUGAGUAACACGUGAGUAACCUGCCCUUGACUUUGGGAUAACUUCAGGAAACUGGGGCUAAUACCGGAUAGGAGCUCCUGCUGCAUGGUGGGGGUUGGAAAGUUUCGGCGGUUGGGGAUGGACUCGCGGCUUAUCAGCUUGUUGGUGGGGUAGUGGCUUACCAAGGCUUUGACGGGUAGCCGGCCUGAGAGGGUGGCCGGCCACAUGGGGACUGAGAUACGGCCCAGACUCCUACGGGAGGCAGCAGUGGGGAAUAUUGCACAAUGGGCGGAAGCCGGAUGCAGCAACGCCGCGUGCGGGAUGACGGCCUUCGGGUUGUAAACCGCUUUCGCCUGUGACGAAGCGUGAGUGACGGGAAUGGGUAAAGAAGCACCGGCUAACUACGU
rnacentral:rRNA from 1 species